UUACCUAUUACUAGCUUCACUUUCUCUGUCAGGACUCUGUCUUUGUUCACCAGUGGUCCCUUUUUUCCCUGUGACGGAGCAUGUUGUCAUUUUUUCUAAGGUGGAAAUGGAGUCCAUCACAGUUCUGAGUAACAUAAGUGUAUGGAAUUGAAACGACAUAAGGUUGAGUGUGAAUCAUCCACUAUCUGAAAAAGAAGUGUAUGGAGUGUUGAGGUUGAUGAUGACAAGGUGAUGACACAAAGGAGCUUCC